rnacentral:misc_RNA from 1 species
CUUUGGUGUUUAUGACGGCCAUGGGGGUAAGAAUUGGGAGGUUCAGGUAUUUUUGUAUGUGCUAUGUGACCAUUUUUACUUCCUUAAAUGCAGUUCACUUGAUUCUGCAAAAUUUCUGGUUUUAUUGUUUUAGUAUCAGGACUUAUUUUUUUAAAAUGAAAAAUAAAAGUGAUCUCUGUGGUGUUUUGCUGUGGACUUUCGAUGAAUCUUUAUUGCCAUUUUGAUUUAUGUUUCAAAUUGUGCUUAAAUUUAUGUGACACAUAUCAAAGUAUGUGAUGUGGUAAUUGUGAAGUGAAUGAAUCUGUUUAAUGAAAAUCUAGAUGUUGGGCAAAAUGACUUAGAAUCUUUGGGCUCCUACAUUUUUAUUUAUUUAUUUAUU